rnacentral:rRNA from 1 species
GAUGAACGCUAGCUACAGGCUUAACACAUGCCAGUCGAGGGGCAGCGGGAUUGAAGCUUGCUUCAAUUGCCGGCGACCGGCGCACGGGUGAGUAACGCGUAUCCAACCUUCCGUACACUCAGGGAUAGCCUUUCGAAAGAAAGAUUAAUACCUGAUGGUAUGAUGAGAUUGCAUGAUAUCAUCAUUAAAGAUUUAUCGGUGUACGAUGGGGAUGCGUUCCAUUAGGUAGUAGGCGGGGUAACGGCCCACCUAGCCAACGAUGGAUAGGGGUUCUGAGAGGAAGGUCCCCCACAUUGGAACUGAGACACGGUCCAAACGCCUACGGGAGGCAGCAGUGAGGAAUAUUGGUCAAUGGACGAGAGUCUGAACCAGCCAAGUAGCGUGAAGGAUGAAGGUCCUACGGAUGGUAAACUUCUUUUAUAAGGGAAUAAACCCUCCCACGUGUGGGAGCUUGUAUGUACCUUAUGAAUAAGCAUCGGCUAACUCCGUG